CAUAAUCGCGCUUUUCUACAGGCGAACUCCGCGCGAAUGCUGCAGUGAUUUGCUGGUUACACGUGAUCUAGGUCACUACAGCAUUUGCAAUGGCUGCCAAUGGAUUAAAUCACUACGGUCUAUGAUUAAAUCGUUAAGGGACGUGCGUAAACUCUCCGAUCUCUUUUCUCUUAUGCAUCUGGAUCUCAGUGUAACGCCAAGUCUCAAGUCUAGUGAAGUGUGUUAAUAACAUAACAUUGAAAAGUUAAUCAAACAGGCCACGCGUGCUAGCGCCAUGCAAGCGUCUCGUUCAGUUACAGACCUGCGGUCCUUUAAAACGUUAAACGAUAGUUUUACUGUUAGCAUCUGUUUUACCGUACGCUAUUAUGCAGCUACCAGUAGGUGGUUUGCAAACUCAAAUUCAAGUUGAUUUGUUGGUAGCUACCUACAGCCAAUUAUGACCAAUAUUUGUCAACUGUCAUUUUUUUAAACGUGAUUCAACUAUUGCAGAUACAGAAAUCCAUUGCAGGGGAUGGAUGUAGUGCAUUCGCUGGAGUUGGCUGAACAAUGUCCUGAAUCCAGGUGGCGGAGGAUAAGAGGCGGAAGGCAGAAGGUGAAGUGGCCGACAGAAGGAGCUGGAGCCUUCUUACGUGGUUCGAUAGCCGGACGACCGGGAACACAGGAUCUCUCAGCAGCGCGGAGAGCUUGGGCAGAGCCAGCCAGAGCCCCAGGAAGGACACAUCCAUCUCCUGCGUCUGCGGAGGGACCCGCACGCCGCACGCAGGCGGACACAGGAGCCCCUCGUCCAGGCUGCAUAUACACGGCAGAAUAAGGGAGAGAUUCUGUGAAGCACUGCUAUGCUCUCGCGUGCAUACUGAUGUCCGGAUGGCUGAAUUUAUGGUGCCAUUCAGGUAAGAGAUUCAAAACCCAUCACCCCUGCCUUACCCAUCAGCCCUUCAUUCCAGUGGGUCACUGCCAUGCAGGUGGAGAGAGCAAGAGUGUGGAGCCUCACUCUCCUAAGAUGGCUCCCCAGCAGAGUGCGGCAGCUCCAAGGUGGUGUAGUUAGAGAAGAGGUGUCCGAUCACCUGAUGGGGUCCUAUCCCCGAACACAUCAAUGUAUGGCACACCAGGGCUCAUGUCCAGCACCCAGCAGUGUAGAAGUGAGCUCAUACCACCCAAAUUCCAGAUGGAUAAGGUAGACCAGAACCUUAGAUUAUCCACUGGAAGAGAGGCAGCCAUGCAGGGGACAAUUUAAGUGACUGAUGUACACACACAUAGUCUCACACCCAUAUAGUACCGUUGUCGCACAAAAAUGAGUCCCGGUUGUCCAGAUCCUCUCUGCCUGGAACUUUUGAGGAUUUCCUCUGUGUACUUUGGUUUCCUCCCAUACCAAAAAUACAUGUACGUCAGGCACUGGCCACAGAGAUCUGGAGUUGGUCUGCGCUGUGGCUGCCCACUGCUCCUAAGUAACUAGGAUGGGUGAAAUUCAGAGGACAGAUCACCCCACAGUCGAUAAAGUAAGUAGCUAACUAACUGUGUUAUCAUCAAGAGCCAUUACAUAAUUUAGGAAGGUAGAGCAAUGUACAGAGCAAUACCACCUGAUUGGUCCCUAGUAUUAGGGAUGCACUGUUUCACUGGUUAAAAUCCUCGGAUCCACACGUGUACGCUUCUUUUGGCUUCUUUCUCUCUUCUGUCCUCUUCUGAGAAAGGGUGGUGACAAGAGUAACCCAAUGCAUAUUUCUUCCUGCCUGAAAAUGCAUCUAAAUUAAGUAGGUUUUGGUCUGUAAUGUAUUAGGCAAUAGGUUAGUUGGAGCAUUUUGGCGUGGGUACGUGUUAUUUUCCAGGUUAUUUUUCCCACUCACUCCAAGUUGCCUUCGGUGACUUUGCCCACUGUUGUCAGUGUGCUCUCUGCUUUAAUG